AGGUCCCACUGAGCCGUUCU
rnacentral:misc_RNA from 1 species